GACGAACGCUGGCGGCGUGCCUAAUACAUGCAAGUAGAACGCUGAAGGAGGAGCUUGCUUCUCUGGAUGAGUUGCGAACGGGUGAGUAACGCGUAGGUAACCUGCCUGGUAGCGGGGGAUAACUAUUGGAAACGAUAGCUAAUACCGCAUAAUAGUAGAUGUUGCAUGACAUUUGCUUAAAAGGUGCAAUUGCAUCACUACCAGAUGGACCUGCGUUGUAUUAGCUAGUUGGUGAGGUAACGGCUCACCAAGGCGACGAUACAUAGCCGACCUGGGAGGGGGGUCGGCCACACUGGGACUGAGACACGGCCCAGACUCCUACGGGAGGGAGCAGGAGGGAAUCUUCGGAAAUGGGCGGAAGGCUGAACGAGGAACGCCGCGUGAGUGAAGAAGGUUUUCGGAUCGUAAAGCUCUGUUGUAAGAGAAGAACGAGUGGGAGGGUGGAAAGUUCACACUGUGACGGUAUCUUAACAGAAAGAGACGGCUAACUACGUG
rnacentral:rRNA from 1 species